rnacentral:rRNA from 1 species
AUGCUGGGCGAGACCCAGCUGCCCGUGCCGGUGCAGAUCGGUCGGAAGCGGCGCUGGAACAAGGACGCCGCCGCCGCCGCCGCCAGCGACGAAGAAGCCAGCGAUGUUAGCCCCAAGGAGGAGCAAGCCCCUAUGGACAUCGCAGCUAGCCCAACCCGCGACAAGGAGGAGGAGGAGGAGGAGAUGGGUGUUCCGGCCUGCGAGAUGGGUGAGCACCCCCCUACGGAGAUCGGCAGUUCUUCGAUCGCCUCAGAUGUGGAGGAGGAGGAAGUGACCGAGGAGCCUGAGAUUCCAAUGUGGGACAGCGAUGACGAUGGUGGAGUUAUGCGCAUGACCAAGGCCGAGCUCCAGGAGCUUCACAUUGCCUGCGUCAAAGGCUUCACCGAGUUGGAUCCCAGGAAGAAUCUUUGGGUCCACACCCGCUUCUGCAGCUUCAAUAUAGGGGGCUUCGACCUCGAUAGAGAGUCUAAGUUUGGCCUUGGGCCGCCGCUUUAUGACAAUCUAACUCCCAAGUUGGAGAGGUGCAUGGUGUCGUUUGCUGUCAAUGUCAUUUCCGUCAAAGUAACCGAAUCCGACCGGGGUUAUCCAAUCAGCGUAUAUGGCACUGUUGUUGCAAGGGAUACGAUUGACUACAGAUGUGUCUAUCUCUUCAGACGUGCAAGGGAAGAUCCCCAGAUCAUCAACUCCAAGGAUGAUAUGCUAAAAUUGAUAGGUCCACGGCGAGGAUUAGUUCAGUUAGAUAAUAUUUAUUUUGAGUUAAAUCUGAGGGUGAAGGGUGAUGCUGGCGACGAAGAUUUUAGCAAAGGUGUGGUAGUGCUCCAUGUUGGUCCCUAUGAUCCUGAACCAAUCACAAGGGUGCUGAGCAGUUGGCUAAGCAGAGUGGAGUUGGUGCUUGCAACUGUUGAAAGUCCAGUGGCAGCUAGCCUUGAAGUCAAAGUUUUGAAAGGAGCAGCACCUUUCAGUGGCAAAAUAUGUGCUGGGACUAGUGAAAACCCGAGGACUCAGAUGAUUGUGUAUGAUAGCAGAGAUACGAAGAGCGGCUCCUCUGUUGUGUUAACUCGCAACCUCGUAGCUGUCCCUGACCCGGAUGACGACGAAGAUGAAAUUGGUGCCUAUGUUCGCUUCCUUGAUGAUGGCGAUGACGUCGAUGAUGAGGAUGCAGGCACCUUGGUCAAGCUAGCAUACCCUGCUGAAGAGCAAGUCUGCUGUCACAGCGCCUGGGAGCUGCAAGUGAAGGUUUCCUGGACUGCCAUCCUGUGCAAACCAAUGGCAAAACAUGUCUUAACAAGAGGGACCAGUAUGCCCAAGGAUUAUACCUGCCCUAGGUAUGCGCCUCGGUUCUGA